CCAUCUCACUGCUUCCAGAGCCAUGCCAAGAGAUCCCGGGACCCUCUCAGAGCCUGGCCACUCCCUCCUUCCCCAGGAGGAGGAGAUUGCAAAAGAGACAGAAAAGGAGUGCCCAGAGAGGCAGAGGGAAAGGAAGAGGAAGAGGAGGGUGAGCCGCGUGGGAAUCCAGGAAAGAGAGGGCUUCCGCUUAGAGACGUGGACCCCGUUUCAUAAGACAAGGGAAGCUGAGGCCCAGAGGACUGAGACAACUUGUGCGUAAUCACCUUUUUCAGAUUCACAAUCAUGAAAGUAUCAUGAAGAAUUUCAAAGGUUCACUCUCCACCCUUUUCCACCUGCUCUGUGUCCAGAGAGGCUGACCUGUGUGGACUGACAAAGAGGCCCUUGUCCUCUGGCUUACAACUGGGCCCGGACAAUGAGGCGCGACAGCAGGAGACAGAAGCGAGCACCAGUAGAGGGUAAGAGGAAUAUAGGAAGAAAUGAAGGAGGAAAAGAGCAAGUGAGAGAGAAUCAGAAGAAGAGCAAGAGUGACCAAGAGAGAGGGAAGAGAUUAAGAAAAAGCGAUCGGGACAUACAAGUAUGUUUUAUGCAAUCUUGAAAGGAGACGCUUGGAUCACUGGCAGAAGAUGGGUUUCUAACUUACAGCCACUUUAUAAAUUCUGAUUCUUCUCACAGAAGAAUAAUUUUAAGCCCAUGUGGGGCUAGGCAAUUUUGUUUUAGAAUUUAACUUUAGAGCUAAUAAUUUUAAUACACAAAAAUUAUUAUUAAUAACUCUUAUGGUAUCCUGACAAUGUGUUAGACACUGAAUUCUCAAGUAGAUUAAGAGGAAACAUUUCUUAUUAGUAUGAAACAAC
rnacentral:lncRNA from 1 species